GAUGAACGCUGGCGGCGUGCCUAAUACAUGCAAGUCGAGCGAACGGACGAGAAGCUUGCUUCUCUGAUGUUAGCGGCGGACGGGUGAGUAACACGUGGAUAACCUACCUAUAAGACUGGGAUAACUUCGGGAAACCGGAGCUAAUACCGGAUAAUAUUUUGAACCGCAUGGUUCAAAAGUGAAAGACGGUCUUGCUGUCACUUAUAGAUGGAUCCGCGCUGCAUUAGCUAGUUGGUAAGGUAACGGCUUACCAAGGCAACGAUGCAUAGCCGACCUGAGAGGGUGAUCGGCCACACUGGAACUGAGACACGGUCCAGACUCCUACGGGAGGCAGCAGUAGGGAACCUUCCGCACUGGGCGAAAGCCUGACGGAGCAACGUCGCGUGAGUGACGAAGGUCUUCGGAUCGUAAAACUCUGUUAUUAGUGGAAGAACAUAUGUGUAAGUAACUGUGCACAUCUUGACGGUACCUCAUCAGAUAGCCACGGCUAACUACAUGCCAUCCACCCGCGGUAAUACGUAAGUGGCAAGCGGUAUCCGGAUUUAUUGUGCAUAAAGCGCCCUUACGCGGUUUUUUAGUCUGAUGUGAAAGCCCACGGCUCAACCGUGGAGGGUCAUUGGAAACUGGAAAACUUGAGUGCAGAAGAGGAAAGUGGAAUUCCAUGUGUAGCGGUGAAAUGCGCAGAGAUAUGGAGGAACACCAGUGGCGAAGGCGACUUUCUGGUCUGUAACUGACGCUGAUGUGCGAAAGCGUGGGGAUCAAACAGGAUUAGAUACCCUGGUAGUCCACGCCGUAAACGAUGAGUGCUAAGUGUUAGGGGGUUUCCGCCCCUUAGUGCUGCAGUUAACGCAUUAAGCACUCCGCCUGGGGAGUACGACCGCAAGGUUGAAACUCAAAGGAAUUGACGGGGGCCCGCACAAGCGGUGGAGCAUGUGGUUUAAUUCGAAGCAACGCGAAGAACCUUACCAAAUCUUGACAUCCUUUGACAACUCUAGAGAUAGAGCCUUCCCCUUCGGGGGACAAAGUGACAGGUGGUGCAUGGUUGUCGUCAGCUCGUGUCGUGAGAUGUUGGGUUAAGUCCCGCAACGAGCGCAACCCUUAAGCUUAGUUGCCAUCAUUAAGUUGGGCACUCUAAGUUGACUGCCGGUGACAAACCGGAGGAAGGUGGGGAUGACGUCAAAUCAUCAUGCCCCUUAUGAUUUGGGCUACACACGUGCUACAAUGGACAAUACAAAGGGCAGCGAAACCGCGAGGUCAAGCAAAUCCCAUAAAGUUGUUCUCAGUUCGGAUUGUAGUCUGCAACUCGACUACAUGAAGCUGGAAUCGCUAGUAAUCGUAGAUCAGCAUGCUACGGUGAAUACGUUCCCGGGUCU
rnacentral:rRNA from 1 species